rnacentral:rRNA from 1 species
GACGAACGCUGGCGGCGUGCUUAACACAUGCAAGUCGAACGGAAAGGCCCUGCUUUUGUGGGGUGCUCGAGUGGCGAACGGGUGAGUAACACGUGAGUAACCUGCCCUUGACUUUGGGAUAACUUCAGGAAACUGGGGCUAAUACCGGAUAGGAGCUCCUGCUGCAUGGUGGGGGGUGGAAAGUUUCGGCGGUUGGGGCUGGACUCGCGGCUUAUCAGCUUGUUGGUGGGGUAGUGGCUUACCAAGGCUUUGACGGGUAGCCGGCCUGGGAGGGUGACCGGCCACAUUGGGACUGCGAUACGGCCCAGACUGCUACGGGAGGCAGCAGUGGGGAAUAUUGCACAAUGGGCGGAAGCCUGAUGCAGCAACGCCGCGUGCGGGAUGACGGCCUUCGGGUUGUAAACCGCUUUCGCCUGUGACGAAGCGUGAGUGACGGUAAUGGGUAAAGAAGCACCGGCUAACUACGUG